GUCUCUGCCAUGCGGAUUCGGAGGUACUAGGGUAUCAGCUGCCUGCUCCAUGCGUAACGGCCUCUGAUUCUCCUCGUGCGUACGUUCGAGCGGAUCUGCCAGGCUGUUUGGUGAAUAUUUCUCUGGAUCCUGGGCUGGGCCGAGAGUUGGGCCAGACGCUAAGCCUGAAUGGAGAGGGCCAGCUUCGUGUGGGCCAGGCCGGCUUGAGUAAAGAAGAUGGGUCGAGCCCGGCCUUGAGGGUCGGAUGAGCCAGGCUCGUUCUGUAUAUCAGGUGUGUGGGCCUCUACGUCAUGGGCCUUGGGCCGUGGUCAAGCCUCUAGUCCGGG
rnacentral:lncRNA from 1 species